ACUGAAGAAGGCUGAUGGUGAGAAAGUGUCCAAAUUCACGUGUACUCUGAUAUUUAUUAAACUAAAGAGCUCAUUCAUGCUCAGCACUAGAUCAGUGAGGGAGCAGGGAUCCAUUCAUAGCCAUGUGUCGCUAUAACACAGGGGGCCAAGGAAAAUCACACUAGUGGGGCUGUACUAGAAGGGCUGGAGUGUUUCUUUAGCAUAACCAUUUCACCACUGAACACAAUCUACAACCUCUGUUAAUCAUUCACAGCAGGAGCGACCUUUCAGACUACAAACCUAAUGUUUGAAGACAACUCAUACGCACCUUUGACAGUCAGCUGUACUUUGUUUUCGGCGUUGACGUUAAGAAGGAAGCAGGUGAUGUGGCCUGCUCAUCAAAAUUCACGCUGCUGUCCGUGAUGUCGUACACAGUGAUGGUGUCUCCAAAUCUCCAGAACACACUGACUUUACCCAGCAGGGCCUCAUGACUGUUUGAACACGGCUACUAAGGAGGAGCCUUCAUAGGACAGUCCUACCGAGGACCUGCACCACCUCAGCUACAGCCAAGGCUCUGGAACGCAGCUCUUGAGUAAGAAGUUCAUGUGACUGGAUGUGGCCUGCUCAUCAAAAUUCACGCUGCUGUCCGUGAUGUCGUACAUAGUGAUGUUGUCUCCAAAUCUCCAGAACACACUGACUUUACCCAGCAGGGCCUCAUGACUGUUUGAACACGGCUACUAAGGAGGAGCCUUCAUAGGACAGUCCUACCGAGGACCUGCACCACCUCAGCUACAGCCAAGGCUCUGGAACGCAGCUCUUGAGUAAGAAGUUCAUGUGACUGGAUGUGGCCUGCUCAUCAAAAUUCACGCUGCUGUCCAUGAUGUCGUACACAGUGAUGGUGUCUCCAAAUCUCCAGAACACACUGACUUUACCCAGCAGGGCCUCAUGACUGUUUGAACACGGUAAGAUGACGGUGUCUCCUACAACGGCUUGAACAUCCUGCAAGGACACUGAGAGAGAGAGUGAGAGAGAGAGAGAGAGAGAGACCAAAACAGACAACCAUAAAACUAAACGCUGCAGGCUGCCUAUUUUGGGUAACGGACCACUGUCAGUGACACCACUGUAUGAUAUACUUGUACGGGCACCAGAGAACAUGCCCUGACCACCCAGAUGGUAGGUGGUUACCAGCUGUGUCCUGCUGGUGUAUCGCGUGUUUGGCAGCAGUUUUUAUUGGGGACUUUUAUUGACAUUGUUCACAUCUGAACAACUUAAUAAUGCGAAAUGUUUGUAUUUUAAUGAGUGAGAUUAUUGUUGUGUUUUUUUAUAUAGUAUAUUAUAGAAUUUGUGUUGCACAGUGUAGAAUUCGACUUAAGCUAAGUGGCUCUGUAUCUGCUAUAUGGUGCUAUAUGUAGUAUGAAAUAAAGAUGUCACUCUAUAAUAAACAUCAAAACAUGCA